rnacentral:rRNA from 1 species
GAACGCUACGGCAGGCCUAAUACAUGCAAGUCGAGGGGCAGCAGUACUUUUCGGAGUAGCUGGCGACCGGCGCACGGGUGCGUAACGCGUAUGCAAUCUACCCACAGCAGAGGGAUAGCCCGUGGAAACAUGGAUUAAUACCUCAUAACACAGGGGGCCCACCUGGGCAUAUUGUUAAAGCUACGGCGGCAGUGGAUGAGCAUGCGUCCCAUUAGUUAGUUGGUAAGGUAACGGCUUACCAAGACGAUGAUCAUUAGGGGGUCUGAGAGGAUGAUCCCCCACACUGGUACUGAGAUACGGACCAGACUCCUACGGGAGGCAGCAGUAGGGAAUAUUGGUCAAUGGGGGCAACCCUGAACCAGCCAUGCCGCGUGCAGGAAGACAGCCUUCUGGGUUGUAAACUGCUUUUGACAGGGAAGAAAGUGUCUCUUGCGAGAGAUUUUGACGGUACCUGUAGAAUAAGCACCGGCUAACUCCGUGCCAGCAGCCGCGGUAAU